rnacentral:tRNA from 1 species
GCUAUGGUAGUUUAAUAAAACAUUAGUCUGUGACACUAAAAAUGGAAGUAAUCACUCCCUAUAACU